AGCAUUUCUAGUAUGUGGAAUAUUUUUGUCACCCCACUGUGCUAAUGUGAUUAAAUACUAAUAAUUAUUACUAAAAAAUUCAAUAAUUAAUCAAUAAUAACUAUAUCUUGAUUGAAUUAUAUUGUAAGCGCAGUGCUGGUGUGCAGGAGCUUUAUAUGCCUUGUGGGGGAUGCUGACAUAUUAUAAACUGUUAUGUCUAUAUCAAGCUUUUAGCCAAAUAUAAGCAGAGAUAUUUGUAUCUUUCUUAAAAAUUCAGAUCCUUAGAGAUUAUUUGAGAAAUGGAUCAACAGCUAUUACUACUUGAAGCACUCUAAAUCCUGCAGUGGAAAAAUAUCCCUUAUUUCAUCUUUGAUCACACACUUUGGUUUUCCAGUGCAGAGCAAUGGCCAAGAAAAGGAAAGACUUCCCCGAGUGAAAAAGAAGAUGAAGAUACAAGCUGGUGAUGAUCCAGAGCAGCUGGUCUCAGGAAAUGAAGAAAAACCCUGAUCACCUUUUCCACAGAAACAAGAAUAAAUUGCGACUAGUCUCAAUGGCUGAGAUGGAGAAGCAACACAGCGACACGUUAACCCCGACUGCUGAAGUUCCCUUAUGAACUGAGCAAGUCUAAAAAUCCAAGGAAAAGCUGAGUGUAUUUUAUUUAAAGCUCAGAUGGAACUUGAUGGACUAACAUGCAGGCUGCAUUCAGGACUUUGUCACACUGGUAUAUGAAGAGUGGUAACAAGAGAAAUUGUGCACACACAAUGUGUCACUUGAUGCUUGCUCUUCUCCAGCCUCUGGUGUCACUUUGUAGUAAUUAGUCUUACUAUUGUCUUAUUUGUUGUGAUUUAGGGUGUGUGCGCACAAGCAGAGGUUUUUGUUUGUAACCAUAACCUCGUUUUCAGAGCCUUGUCUAACAUUUAAUGGUCGUGAAAUAUGUCAGACUUUUUCCUCUACUUAAACAGCUAAGAGCAUUUGAACACAGUGGAGAAAAAGGUGUGCAUUAAGGAUUUUGAACUAUGAUGUUUAAGUGUUGUCACUGCUGAGGAUCCUUAUUCACUACACUGCUGUUUACAGUUUAACUUUUCAUCAGAACAAGCACUUCUAAUUGUACUUUGCUCCUCACUGACAAAACAAGUCCAGUAAAUGCACUUUUAUCUUCAAGUUUGGGACAGUAAUCUGUCUUCAUUUAUUUUGUGUUUUAGUUAUCAUAUGGGGAAAAGUUCUGUGGUUAUCUAUCCGUCCUGUUCGCAUAAACCCAAAGUUCAGGAACAUCUUCUUUAGAUCUGUUCAGUUUUAUUUAUGUGGCACGACUUAAACAGUCAAGUAUGUUAUUGUGAGGUAAAGACCCCAAAGAGUUAAUCUCGGACAAAUGUUCACACAAAUGUGAAUUACAUUCACUUCAUUAAUGAAGUGAAUGUAAUUCAGUAAUCAAAUGUGUUUGGCUAUAACUGACUACAUGUGUAUACUGUACCAUAAGUGGACAGACAUGGAUGUAAACCACACCUUAACCAUUUGGCUGAGGCAAAACUACCACAAGGCAGUGAUUCUAACUAAAAGGUACUCUGGAUAUUAUUAAAUGUGAACAUAUCGUUAAAUAUGACA